GUUUGUAAGGUCGGGCGGGACUUUUUUUAUUUAUUGGUUUACGGAUUUUACUUGAAAAAAAAACCCAGGUCGGUAGAAAAAAUUAAAAAAAACAUUGUUUUUCAAGAUUGUCACAACGGUAACAUGAGCCGGACAGCCGGUAGUACUUAGAGUCAAAGUUUACUUGGCGUGUACUUCAUGUCAGAACCCCAAAUUAACUAAAAUUAACUAAAAUUG